rnacentral:rRNA from 1 species
UGGGGAAUUUUGGACAAUGGGGGCAACCCUGAUCCAGCAAUGCCGCGUGUGUGAAGAAGGCCUUCGGGUUGUAAAGCACUUUUGUCCGGAAAGAAAUCGCCCUGGCUAAUAUCCGGGGUGGAUGACGGUACUGGAAGAAUAAGCACCGGCUAACUACGUGCCAGCAGCCGCGGUAAUACGUAGGGUGCGAGCGUUAAUCGGAAUUACUGGGCGUAAAGCGUGCGCAGGCGGUUGUGCAAGACAGAUGCGAAAUCCCCGGGCUUAACCUGGGAAUGGCAUUUGUGACUGCACGGCUAGAGUGUGUCAGAGGGGGGUAGAAUUCCACGUGUAGCAGUGAAAUGCGUAGAUAUGUGGAGGAACACCGAUGGCGAAGGCAGCCCCCUGGGAUAACACUGACGCUCAUGCACGAAAGCGUGGGGAGCAAACAGGAUUAGAUACCCUGGUAGUCCACGCCCUAAAACGAUGUCAACUAGUUGUCGGGUCUUAAUUGACUUGGUGACGCAGCUAACGCGUGAAGUUGACCGCCUGGGGAGUACGGUCGCAAGAUUAAAAACUCAAAGGAA